UAAUACUGUUAGGUAAAGAUGCC
rnacentral:miRNA from 2 species